CACCCGCCCUUACCAAAACCCUGUCCGCGUACCUCUCCAUGUUGCUUCCCCGGGACCAAGUGCGGAGCCCUUACGGUGGUGAUCGGGACCCCUCGUCUCACUCGCCGCUGGGACCGAGUACCCCGGGGAAGGUACCCCCCAAAAUCAAUCGCUCUGAACCAGCUGUCUGACASAGGCCCACAAGGCCUUAGGUAUACAAAUACUCUCAAAACUUUCAACAACGGAUCUCUUGGCUCUCGCAUCGAUGAAGAACGCAGCGAAAUGCGAUAAGUAAUGUGAAUUGCAGAAUUCAGUGAAUCAUCGAAUCUUUGAACGCACAUUGCGCCCUUCGGCAUUCCUUAGGGCAUGCCUGUUCGAGCGUCACUAAAACCCCCCCCUCACACUUGCUUGUGGUGGUGGCGUCGGUGGGUACUGGGUGGGAACCGUGAGUCCCCUCUUAACCCACCCCGCCGAAAUCGAUGGGGCGGACAACUGAUCUCAGCUGCUGACUUAGUAAAAAUCGACCUUGCAGGGCCCCCCGGGCCSGUCAGGCAUCAAUCAAACAGUCAGGAGUUAGGUUACGUCCCGUCCCUCAAUUGGACCCCCAUCCAAUACAAUAGACUCUGGGUUGACCUCGGAUCAGGUAGGGAUACCCGCUGAACUUAAGCAUAUCAAUAAGCGGAGGAAAAGAAACCAACAGGGAUUGCCUCAGUAACGGCGAGUGAAGCGGCAAAAGCUCAAAUUUGAAAUCUGGCACCUUUGGUGUCCGAGUUGUAAUUUGGAGAGGCAUCUUCGGGWGGGACCCAGCCUAUCUUCCUUGGAACAGGAGGUCAUAGAGGGUGAGAAUCCCGUUCUYGGCUGGAUGUUCCCACCCGUAUGUAAGUGUCUUCUACGAGUCGAGUUGUUUGGGAAUGCAGCUCAAAAUGGGUGGUAAAUUUCAUCUAAAGCUAAAUACAGGCGAGAGACCGAUAGCGCACAAGUAGAGUGAUCGAAAGAUGAAAAGCACUUUGAAAAUAGAGUCAAAAAGUACGUGAAAUUGUUGAAAGGGAAGCGCUGGAGACCAGACUCGGCCUUGGACAAACAGCCCCCCUUCUGGAGGUCGCACUUGUCCUCGGCUGGGCCAGCAUCAGUUGGGGUGGCGGGACAAAGGCCCGGCGAAUG
rnacentral:rRNA from 1 species